GAUGAAGAACGCAGCGAAAUGCGAUAAGUAAUGUGAAUUGCAGAAUUCAGUGAAUCAUCGAAUCUUUGAACGCACAUUGCGCCCGCCAGUAUUCUGGCGGGCAUGCCUGUUCGAGCGUCAUUACAACCCUCAGGCCCCCGGGCCUGGCGUUGGGGAUCGGCGGAAGCCCCCUGCGGGCACAACGCCGUCCCCCAAAUACAGUGGCGGUCCCGCCGCAGCUUCCAUUGCGUAGUAGCUAACACCUCGCAACUGGAGAGCGGCGCGGCCACGCCGUAAAACACCCAACUUCUGAAUGUUGACCUCGAAUCAGGUAGGAAUACCCGCUGAACUGAAGCAUAUCAAUAAGCGGAGGA
rnacentral:misc_RNA from 1 species